GUGUUUUGAACAGCUGAUCAGAUCGGUAAAGCGUGUUUCUGGAAUAUUAUGUUUUUGUUCCUGCAAGCGCUUUUUAUGCAGUUUUUGCAAAGCUUUAUGUGGAAGGAAACCGUGACCGAGGACAAGCUGAUGGCAUCAGAUGAACUGAGUGUCUAAAAUCAGUCCAGUCGAGCCGAAGGGGUCCGCCUGACAGCAGAGGAUGAAGGUCAAGCUGAAGUCUGCUUUGCAUAAUAAUUCACUUUCUGCUCUUUGUGGAGCUGAUUGAGUCGCGGAUCAUCUUAAGCCUCCAGCUCAUGUCCCUGAAGAAAUGGAAAACGCACAAGACCCAAAAUUUAAGGAUCAACUGAGUAAAAGCAUCUACAUACAAAAGGAUGAAUAAAUGUAUUCAAUGUAAAUGUUACCAGAUGCUACCAAGGUUAGACUUGAUGAGCAGGUGAAUGCUUGAGCUUUACAAUGAUUUUCAAAAAUAAGCGUCAGAAAUAGUUGUUUUAUUUAUUGAUUUUUUAUCUCAGUCCAUGUGCAUUUUUUCACCUCAGGUUUUUCCAAAAUUAUUUUAAAAAGCGUGUUAGAUGGAGGAGUUGUACAGAGAGAUGGCAACAGGCAGGAAUGAUUUCCUGUGUCGUUCAUUAUGUUCUAUCAUAUGUGUAUAUUGUUACACUGGAGGAUGUUUGUAUUAUAAAGGUUCAUUUUUUGGCCACUCUGUGUACAAUGUGAAUGAGAGGGAAUAUCCCUGCCACUGAAGCCCCGCCCACCAGCAAAACAAUGUUUAUUUUGGAGGAUCAGCAAAUCAGAAGGAAGUCGAGGAGAGAUAACCAAGUAAUGUUUUUUUUUCCCCUUUUGACAACUGGGCUGCAGCAAAUAGAGACGAUUUAAAUGAUCUUAUUUCAGUGGAGUUUUCUUUUCUGAUUUGAAAUAAAUGACGCUGUAAAAUUAAGUUAUGAUUCUUCACACUUUUAAUUUUUUAAAUGUUUAAACAUGGCUCCAAAUUUGUUAUGUGCCAUUGUUCUCUUUCUACUAAAGCUACAGCUCUAUAGAGGCUGAAUCAUGGCAGUCCCUGUUUGUGGCCCUCUCACCAUAUUGAACUGGAACAGUAAUAGUCCCGCCCUUCCACUCCAUUCUUUAGCUUUCUGAUUACUCAGAUAUUACUGUGCCUCCUUCUGUGUGAGAAUCAUCUAAAAACUAAGCACCAAAGGCAUCACCGAGGUGAAAACAGUUGCUGGUUCAUUGAAACACUGCGUACAGGUAAACAUUGCAAACUCAGUGUGACUUUUGGAGGUCUAAGUCAUCAUUGUUGCAAUAACAAUAUCAGGAUAUAUCAUUUAUUUAUUUUUUAUUGUUCUCUGAAGUAUUUCAGUCAGUGUACAAUAGAGAUAACAAUUCUAGUAUGCAUUGAAAACCGUUUACAC
ensembl:lncRNA